ACGUAGGGUGCAAGCGUUAAUCGGAAUUACUGGGCGUAAAGCGUGCGCAGGCGGUUCGGAAAGAAGGAUGUGAAAUCCCAGGGCUCAACCUUGGAACUGCAUUCUUAACUACCGAACUAGAGUAUGUCAGAGGGGGGCAGAAUUCCGCGUGGAGCGCCGAAAUGCAUAAAUCUGCAGGAAAAGCCCGAGGGCGGAGGCAGAACACAGGGAUAGCUCCGACGGUGAUGGUCGAAAGUGUGGGGAGAAAACAG
rnacentral:rRNA from 1 species